ACUGAAGGAAAGAAACUUUCCCUUCUAUGCUAGCUAUAAAGAUUUUACUCAAAAUGUGUUUGGACUGACUGCAUCCUGCUCCAAGUAGGCAUGAAUACACAAAACAUAAUGAGCAUCAUUGAGAGUGACUUGGCAUCAAAACGCCAGUUCCACUCAGAGCCCAAAAUGAUGCCUGCUGUGGGAAGUGGGAAAAGUCACUUUCGUGUGCUGGGUAAUAGUGUUCUAAGGGUGACUUUAAGGCACAUCUGAGAUCCUUCAUUUUAAUGAGCGUUUUGAUCAAAAGUUAAAAAAAAGCUUUAACUAAAACAGACGGUUCUUUCACAGUUCAGCGUGAUGUGAAGUUUAUAACCAGACAGAGAAGACUGCUUAGUUUCUAUUCCAAACAGCAAUUUCUGAGCUCUUCAGGACAAUGGGACAACUCACAAAACUCAGUGGCAAGCAAUUCAGAGGCGAAACCAGGAAGACAGUGGUCAAGAAUGUAAAUCAGUGCAUUCACAUUUAUGAAGACAACUGUGCUGAAGCAACAACUGCAGAACAGGACGUGACAUCAGAUGUGUAUGAAGCGUAUUUAGAAAAGUGACCCACUGGAAUUAUCGGUACCUGGUGUUGGUACUUCAGAAGUGUCAAAUGCAGUUUGCAGCAGAGUUCAGUGAAAAAAGAGACCGAAUGAUCAAGUGUGUUAAUAGUUAAUUAAAGUUAUAACUAUAUAACUAUAUAUUGAUGUAAAUUGUUGAUUCUUUGCAUGCGGUUUAUUACAAUUUUCUAAAUGGGAAGCAGUGUGAUAUGAAUAAAUAUAAGUGCACUUUUAAAAACUGUGUACCCUGUGGUAUGACUUUUGAUACCUGCUGUCCGAAGUUAGUUGGCAGCUUACUGCCUUCAGAAAAGGCCAUUCUGUUGAUGACUUUUCUUCUAUUAAUUGGUUUUGCCAGGAGCAACACUGAAGAGUCUAUGGACAUUGCAAUAAGAUUAUAUGAUGUCUGUCCAUUACUGCUUACUUUAAAGAAGCAAUAUUACCUCCACCUCUGCAGAAAUCAGGAUUGGUGAGCUAGGUUUUAGUACCACGAAUGGCAGGGUGAUAAAUGAUCUCAUCAAUGCUGUUCAAAUAAAACAUCCAUUUUGCAUACAGCUCAGUCUUAUAACAAGUUAAUAGAGGAAAGAUUGAAAAUGACAAUAUCUUUGGCAUGCACAAGCACUGUAUUCAUUUUAUGAGCAGCAGUUAUGAUCAGAAUGUAUAUAUGCAGCCUAUAACAAAAUAAAGCAUCUUAAUAUGA